UGGGUCGGGGUUUCGUACGUAGCAGA
rnacentral:piRNA from 9 species